rnacentral:lncRNA from 1 species
ACGCUAGCCCCCAGCUCAUCGCUUCCACGAUUCCCAUUCGUCCUCUCGAGCCGACGACCCGCCCCUACGCCAUCCCUGGGCUGCACGAUGCCACUGAUGCUUCGGGCAAAAACAUGAAACGGCGUUGGGGCCGGCUAAUCUUCGAGUUCCUAUAUAACCUCCCUCAUGCUAUGCAAAAGAUGCUGUCAUUCUGGCAUUAUGACAUUCUGUACCAGAGCCACUAGGUCACGUUGGUAUCAUUAUAUGCUGGAUAUGUUA